CAUGCUGUAAACGUUGGGCACUAGGUGUGGGGAUCGUUGUGGUUUCUGCGCCGUAGCUAACGCAUUAAGUGUCCCGCCUGGGGAGUACGGCCGCAAGGCUAAAACUCAAAGGAAUUGACGGGGACCCGCACAAGCGGCGGAGCAUGCGGAUUAAUUCGAUGCAACGCGAAGAACCUUACCAGGGCUUGACAUAUAUGCGCUAGCACUAGAGAUAGUGGGUUCUCUUCGGAGACGUAUAUACAGGUGG
rnacentral:rRNA from 1 species